CAGGCCGACAUGGAUGGCAGUGGUGAAACUCUGUGUGGUGCGGAAGCUGGUGGCAUUGGGAAUGAUCAGGGAGGUAUAUUAGGAGGUGGAUGUUUUAAGCCCCUUACGGAUGCGGAGUUGAAAUUUCUGCUUCACAAGUGAUGCCCGGCUGCCCCUCUGGAUGCCCCGGCCUGGAACUGGUGGUGACACUCGUGUCCUGUCCCCCUGCAGCAGCAUGAAGAGAUGAUCAUCCCUGGAGAAGGCCCUGAUCCCCUGGGAGCCCUGGGAAUGUCCC